CUAGCGUAUGCGGAAUUCGAGUCCGCUACGCGUAUGCAUAGCAAUAGGAAUCUUGAUUUCCUGUUGCUAUGCGUAUAAUUAUCGUAGUUGUACAGGGUACAACAGAUUGUACAUGUGUAUUUAAUUCACAAAUAUUUAACCGUCGAAUCGCAUCUUUUUUUUAGAAAUGGUUUAUCACAGAAUUCCCGAUAAUCUUCAGCUUUGAAGUGUUGAGUACAUACAAUAAGAGAUUUAACAUCGGUUUUCUUUAACACUUGCAACCACUGUUUUCGUACGUUUGGAUUCUUUGGCAAACUAAAAACAUAAUGAGUAUUGCAUGAGAGGAAUGUGAACAAUAUUUUGGUUAUAAUAAUUUCAUAUUUUCACCUAUGAAAAGUAAUAUGCAAAUUUUUCAACGAUUGUUCCACUCCACAUACACAACAAGAAUGAACCAUUUUGCUUAAUAAAUAAUAAAUAAUAAACAACUCUAUCAAAUGCUAUCAAACGUAGUAGGUUAGGUCAAGCGUAGUGGCUAUAUUGAAUUUUUCCUCCACUACAGAUAUUAACAGACAGAGAGAAAGUUACUGUUCAAAACAGGUUGUCUCUUUCUAAAGUGAAGACAACUUUUCAGCCAAACGCGUAGUCUAUUCUUACUAUGUCUAUGUCUCUAGUGUACUUAUAGUGUGGUUAUGUGCAAGAUAUUUGAAUACUACUUUCAUCGGAGUUAUUGCCAACCAACCAACCAACUGCUUAAUUCACGUGACAAUGUAUACGUAUUACUUCCUGGCAACCUGUGGACCGAUCGUCUAUAAAACUAUUGCACCAAAAUGAUGGAUAACUAUAGCACAAAUGAUAGCAGAAUUGCAAUAAUAACGAUAAUAACUCAGGGAUUCUCCAAUAUGACGACCAAUAAUCUGGACGUGUUAAUGAAGAUAGGAUUAAGUCUGCGCACGAAGGACAAUCUUUUUUUAGUGCAAGAUAUUUGCAGAAAGUUAAAAAUAAAAUAAACUAGCAAAGACGUCGAAAAACCAUUUCUAAUAUAUUCUAACCAUGACAUAUUCCAAGAGAUCUUGUAGAUGUUUUAUUACACAGAAGAGAAUGCUUAUAUUUCUUUUGCGGCAGAUUCAUCUAACGCUAUAUGUAAAAGAAAAAAUCGGAAGGGCUCGUACGACUCCAGAUAUUAAAGUUAAAAUUGGCGAACGCAUCAAUCUCGAGAAAUUCGAAUGCAUGACGCGAGUUCCUCGAGCUAGAGAUACCUCGAUGCCCAAGAUAAUGGUGAAGAAACCUUAGAGAGUGCGAUGAACGAUGCCAAUAGGCGAAGUUUGUGAAUGGCGCACUUGAACAUGAAAUCGUUACUGGGAAUGGAUUGCUCGUGAAAUUUGUUCCGCUGGUAUUGGAUGUAUGCCAGUAUCCCGACAAGUGUAACAACAAAAAUGUACGAACUCGCACUCAGCAAAAUAAUAACGAUGAGCUUUGAAUUUUGCAAACAAUCUGUGCAACUUUUGAUCACCACAUUGGAGUGAUCGCCGCAUCCCGGGACUCAAUCAAAUACACUACUGAAAAAAAAAAAUAGGGAACACUUUUCAGACACCAAAAGUUAAGCUAUCUUCAAAUAACUGUAACUUAGUGAAAAAUCGUCGUAGAUAAAAAAUAAAAAAAGCAUUUUGAAGCUUGAAGAUCCAACCUUAACGCUCUAUCAGCA